GGGGCGGGGCGGCCGCGGCAGCGGCAGCAGCGGCAGCGGGGCUUGGGGCCGGCGGGGCCGCGCUUGGGCCGCGCUCGGGCCGUGCUCGCCUCGCCCGGCCGCCACCGCGCCUCGCCCGCGUCGCCAACCCCGCGCCGCCAGCUUCACCGCGGCCCCCGGCGGCUGCGGCCUCCCGCGGUGCGCCUCGCCGCCGACGAGGCCUAGCCCCGGCGGGAGCCCGCGGCCCGCUCUGCCCGGGCCCUCCGGACACCAGACACACGCGCGCGCGUGCGCUCUCUCUGUCUUUCCCCCUCCCGCCGGAUGUUGGACCCCUUGAAAUCCGCUCACCCCGCACCCUGGCCCCCACUGCUUCUCCCCCAGCUCAGUGCUGCUGUGAAACACGCUGGCUGCGGCUGCCCGGUCUGGUGCCUCCGCUUCGGUUCAAAGCUGGCUGCAGGUAGCAGUCGAGCCUGGGCUGAACUGACGGCGGAUUAUUUAUACUAUAAACCUGCCUGGGGACUGCCCGUCGCUUGAGGUGGCAGCCCCACGGUCAUAUGUGUUGUGUAAGGAUCUGAGUCUGCAUCUGGAGUUUUGCCUGCUGGAGGCUGGCUGUGCCGAAGAGUAUCAGCUCUUCAAAGUAGGCAAUGCACCUUAUUGAGAGUGUCAGGAAACACUUCCAGUGGAUUUUGGAGGCAGGCGUGACUGCUGUCUCUGCUCCUCAUGUGACCACAGCUCUGGAUAUCUCCCUCUGCAUUAUAUUGUCAUGUCUUUCUGCCCCUUUAUGUUCUGCUGAUACAUUUGUAGAGGAGAGAAGUUAGUAUUUGGAACCACACUUCUGUAAAGCUGUGUUGUGGAUGUGUUUCUCCCAACCAAGCUGUUAGGAUGGGCACAGAAGUCCAGAAACAAACUCAGAUAAUUGUUUUACACUUAGACAUUAUUUUUAGUCUUAAGCAUAAGACCUUACUGAAGGCAUUAAGGAGAAGGCAAAAUUAAGCUUUAAAUAGAAACAGCUGCAACCUUAACUGUGGAGGAAAACAGAAAACUGUGGAGUUUGGAAUUGAGCAAUAGAAGAGUUUAUUAAAACAAGUGGGAAAAGCUCCUUUUCGGACAUUAAAAAAUGGAGGAAAAAGGCGUUUGGAAACAUUGUAUAAAGCCAGAACAGCUGCCUUUGAAGGUGGAUGCGCUAGCAUGCUGCUUGUUUAUAAACUUUAAGAGUAAUGGCACAAAAGAAAGAACUGUUUACUCCCUCUAUUGAUCAAACUAGAGAAGUGCUGCCAUGCAGCACUUAAGUGUAUCGGCUCCAGGGCACUUGGGGGACACCAUAGCUCAAGUUUCGAGGUAGUGAGCAGAAAGCAUACCAUGAGGGAGAAAUAACUGUUGUGUUAUCUCCAGGGGUGUUUUUCUUUCUUUCUUUCUUUCUUUCUUUCUUUCUUUCUUUUCUUUUUUUCUUUUUUUUUGAAGUAGCUAAUCGUCUAAAGAAUUUAAAGAGUUCUCUAUAACACUUUUGGGGAGACUGUGAAGGUGGUGGUUUCUUAAGUCAAAAUAAGGAUGCUUAGUCCUCAGCCAGUCAGUAGUCAAAUGGUGUUUUCAUCUGAGGCAAGGGAGAUUCAAGACUUGCACUGGAACUCUUGGCUGGGCUUUCCCCAGGCCUCUUUCACUCCCUCCAUAAAUAAAGAGUAUAAGUCUGGAAGCAAAA